AUGCCAACAUAUCUAUCUGGAGACCUGUCUUCUGAUGUACACAAGCAGUUGGCUCAGAAGGUAUUAAGACCUACAUGUAACAGAACUUCUGUUAGCUGCAAUUCUUCCUUUCAUAAGGCUCAUCGUUGGGAUGUAAAUAAGGUCAACAAUAAGCUGUCUUUUUUUUUUCUAUUUUUUGAGACAGAGUUUUGCUCUCAUUCAGGCUGGGUGCAAUGGCUGUUUCAGCUCACCACAACCUCUGCCUCCUGGGUUCAAGAGAUUCUUGCUUCAAGAAUCCUGCCUCAGCCUCCUGAGUACCUGGGACUACAGGCACAUGCCACCACGGCUGGCUCAUUUUUGUAUUUUUAGUAGAGACAGAGUUUCACCAUGUUGGCCAGGCUGGUCUGCAACUCCUGACCACAAGUGAUCAAUCCGCCUUGGCCUCCCAAAGUGCUGGGAUUACAGGCGUGAGCCACUGCUCCCAGGCCUCUUUUAAGAUUUUAAUUUUCUUAUGCUAUCUGCUGGCACCUCUCACAAUGUUAUCAUCAGUCCUUAUUGCUUCUUCUAUGCGAUUUAAAUCCCAAACCAUUAUGUUUACCAACAUCCUCUUUUUCAAAGAGAAUUGUUAUUCUUCAGGCUCCACAUACCACAUUUAAGUCUUCUUUAUUUCUGGUUUCUCAUGUUUAACAUAUUACCAAAUUGUCCUGAUGCCAUGUCCUCUAAUUAUUCUUUUUUCAAAGUUUUAUUUUGUUUUUAAUUGAAACGUGAUUGUACACAAUUUAAUUCUUAAUGUGAUGUAUUCAUACAUAUAAUUUUCAGCCAAGAUUUAUUAAAGUGUAAGCAUUCUCCUGUCUUCCCUUCUAGUUGUUUAAAAGGAAUCUUUUGGAAUGAAGAAUCAGUUGAAUGAGUAGAGACUAGACCAGAGAUUAGAUUUAUGCAGUAAUCUAAACCGAUUUACACAAUAAAGAACCCAGGGAGGUGAGUGCACCCCCAAGUGGAAGAUAAAGAAAAAGCAGGAGGAAAGCAGGUUUGACUGAGACUCCCAAGCAGUUGUGAGGGGAAAAUUGGACGAUGUAAAAGAGGUACUUUUGAGAAUUGUUGCUAGAGUUAUGAAUCACGUCCCCAGCAAUAUUCCUUGAAAGAAGCAAGUGAGGGUUAGAAUUCUUUUUAUU
rnacentral:lncRNA from 1 species